UUUGACAUUUCCCAAUUCAAAUCUCGCGCUCGGAGCCUACCACACUUCCACUGCUCAAUGAGGCACAUUCCUUCCAAGCUCUUCCAAUCUAAAUGGCGAACAACACUUGUCUCGACAAGUCAUAGAGUUGGCGAGCGCCCUUACACAACAGACGACUUUGAUGAAUCAACUCUUGCAGCGCACCAAGAUGCAACGUACCGCAAACGAGGUGUCCCAAAGUAGGACAAUGGCAGAUAAAGAACCUUUCCAGCAGCAUCCCGGUAAAU
rnacentral:lncRNA from 1 species